AUUUAAGUGUAUUUCUCUAUAAAUAAAUAGAUUUCAAACUAUCCAAUUAUAAUCAUAUACAAUCAAGAUUAUAAAAGAAGCGCUGAAAUAUAAGUGCAUCUAUGAUUUGUCGCUAAAGGAUUACCGGAACGUAUACAAGAAGGACAAAAUUUGGGAGGAGUUUGAGAAAGUUUUAAAUGAAAGCUACAUUUUUAGCAGACAUUUGUAGAAGACGAUGAAAGAGUGUCCGAGAUAACUAUCAAAAAACUAAGCGUGCUAACGACUUAGCGUCCGGCGGUGUCGCACCAAUAUCCAACAAGAUGGAUAACUGUAAAGGUUCGAAGCAAACUGUCGAAAAUGUUGAAAUACAAAAAGGAUAAAUUUUCGAGGAAAUAAAUUCCCCAAUUCUCCACCUUCAUGAUCGUCAUUCAACAAUACAACUUCCCGUGGAAGGUUAACCAAGCGGCGAUACGAUGCUGAACUCAAGGCUAGUUUUACCAAGCAAUGGUUGUUUGUGUUGCCUCCACUUCUGAGCUUACCAAAAUACUACCUACUCCAACGCUCGCACUUUUUUAAACUUUUACGGGCCAGCGUUGCAAAUAAUGCAUUCAAAAAA